rnacentral:Y_RNA from 1 species
GGCUGGUCCAAGUGCAUUGUUGUUUAUAACUAAUUAAUCACAACCAGUUGCAGAUCUCUGUUCCUUCUCCAUUGCCAUUGCUUCACUUGACUAGCUUUUA